GCCAUUCAUUUGAUAUAUUACGGUAAUCAUUGCCUCUGUGUUUGGGUGACAAAGCAAUUGAAAUCUAUUAAUAUAGGGCAUGGUAUGCCUUAAAACUUUUUCCAGAUGCACAGGCCGCUGUUUGUCUGUAAUCUAUCUAAAUUUUGAGGUGAAAAUGCAGCCAUUUUAGCCAAAGGGUACACAUCAUGAACCUUAUAAUCAUUUCUAUAGAACUUGUCUUGAUACCCUGAGCUAUAAUAUUCGAAGAAGUGGAUGCUGACUCGGUUGCUUUUAAUACGGAUGCUAUAUGAUACGAAUUUACAAUAACACACCAGAUAUGGUAUGAUGUAAAUUAUUGGAAGAAGACUGAAGAAGAACUGACGUUGGGUCAAUGUUUUUCUGCUGUCAGUUUGAUCCACUUGAGCAUGCUGAACGAGUAAAGUUCCUUAUAUCCACAUUGGAAUGUGAAACAAUUAGUAUUUAAAUAACGGAAUUAAGUUUUCAAAUGAUUUUUGGCAUCAAAAUCUUCCGAUCGAUGUUUAGACAAAAACAAUGCAUUUUUUUUUAUAUUUUUUUUUAUUAAAGCCGGUCAUUUUUACCUUUACUCAACCUUGGCGUGAGACGUUAGACAUAUAAUAUAAUUAUCGAGUGUUUUAUAUUCUUUCACCUGUGUUUUGUUUAAACAAACCAUUAUCACUUUUCAAUUAUCCGACGGCUUGGUCAAAAUGUCAACUUGUUCUCGCAUUUUAAUCAGUCAUUCCCGAUUCUUUCGAUACACUCAGGAUUUUACCACGUUUACGUACGUACAUAUAGUAAACAGGUAAAAGUAGAGCGGGGAAAUGUUCAUUCAUGAAAUAUUCAUGAAUGAAUGAAAACGCAAUCUCGCGUAGAUUUCUUGUGAUUUUCUCUACAGCGCAUGGCAGAUCCGCGAAGUAGUGUUUGUAAUACUCAUUUUUAAAAUGAAGUUAAAUUCAUCUGAAUCGUUGUUGAAUAUUCAUUUCUUUUUAUUCAAGCUGUAAUCUUUUCAGUCAAAACAGUAGUUACUCAAAAUUUUAAAAGAAUCUUCCAAGAAUCAGAACUCAAACACUAGUACUACACUAUCUCGGAGCAGAAUAUAUUGCGAUAAUCUGUCACCCGGAAGUUUGAGACCGACGCCUAAGGAAAGUAGCAAUAGCA
rnacentral:lncRNA from 1 species